AGGUCAGAAAGCAGCCAGCUGGUGUUG
rnacentral:piRNA from 1 species